GGAUGCGAUCAUACCAGCACUAAAGCACCGGAUCCCAUCAGAACUCCGAAGUUAAGCGUGCUUCGGCGAGAGUAGUACUAGGUUGGGUGACCUCCUGGGAAGUCCUCGUGUUGCAUUCG
rnacentral:rRNA from 1 species